UCAACAACGCCUAAACUCAAAGGUUUGUCCCUUCUCUUCAUCGUCUUCCUCACCUCCACAUUCUUCUCUAUCUGGUAUACCAGCCACCGCCUUAGGAAAGUAAAAAGGACAUAGCCGCCGCCAUGGGUAAGUAGGAGGUGUCAACAGCCUUGGAAAUCAAGUUUCAGAUUGGUGAUUCCCCAAAGCUAUGAAGCUAGAGUUGGAACCCUAGAAUCAAGAGCUGGAACUCUAGAAAUCUGGAGGUGGCGAGUCUAGUAUCUAUAUGGGUAAGAUUUCAAUUAGAAUAUCCAAUUUUUCUUCGGUUAGACCUAUCUUGUUUUCUACGUAUACACCUCCUUUCCAGACACUAUAAAUAGGCUGACCAUCUAUGCUUUCCAUAUAGUUCCUUGAGUUGUUAGAUACAUAGAUAAACAAGAAAGAGAGAGAGAGAGAGAGAGAGAGAAAGAGAGUUUAAUUCGGUAUCUUAGAAGUGGAGGAGUGAAAAGUCAGGAACUUGUUUUCAUCCGGAUACUUAACGUGAAGAUUGAUUGAGAUGACGAAUAAAUAAGUUUGAAGUUAUUUUACUGCAAGGGUGUUUUUAAUAAUGUAAUAUACAUGUGUGUUAUGGUUAAUCAUGCUUGGGUUCCUAGACAAGAACUUGGAAUAUAGUUGACCUUUUGUUGUAAAUGUUGGUGUAAACCCCCCUUGUAAUAAAGGUUGUGUUUCAAUUUCGGAAACUUGUCUAGUAUCGUUCUUUUCCAAUUAUUCAUAUUUCGAUCUCGGAAAUUUA